rnacentral:rRNA from 1 species
GAUGAACGCUGGCGGCGUGCUUAACACAUGCAAGUCGAACGGAAAGGCCAGUGCUUGCACUGGUACUCGAGUGGCGAACGGGUGAGUAACACGUGGGUGAUCUGCCCUGCACUUCGGGAUAAGCCUGGGAAACUGGGUCUAAUACCGGAUAGGACAAUGGUUUGGAUGCCGUUGUGGAAAGUUUUUUCGGUGUGGGAUGAGCUCGCGGCCUAUCAGCUUGUUGGUGGGGUAAUGGCCUACCAAGGCGUCGACGGGUAGCCGGCCUGAGAGGGUGUACGGCGACAUUGGGACUGAGAUACGGCCCAGACUCCUACGGGGGGCAGCAGUGGGGAAUAUUGCACAAUGGGCGCAAGCCUGAUGCAGCGACGCCGCGUGGGGGAUGACGGCCUUCUGGUUGUAAACUCCUUUCGCUAGGGACGAAGCGUAUUUGUGACGGUACCUGGAGAAGAAGCACCGGCUAACUACGUG